rnacentral:rRNA from 1 species
UACGUAGGUUGCGAGCGUUGUCCGGAUUUAUUGGGCGUAAAGCGCGCGCAGGCGGUCUUGCAAGUCCACGGUGAAAGCUCCCGGCCCAACUGGGAGAGGCCCGUGGAAACUGCAGGACUUGAAGGCGGGAGAGGCAGAUGGAAUUUCCGGUGUAGCGGUAAAAUGCGUAGAUACCGGAAGGAACACCAGUGGCGAAAGCGAUCUGCUGGCCCGCCCUUGACGCUCAGGCGCGAAAGCUAGGGGAGCGACCGGG